rnacentral:rRNA from 1 species
AGUGAACGCUGGCGGUAGGCCUAACACAUGCAAGUCGAACGGCAGCACAGUAAGAGCUUGCUCUUACGGGUGGCGAGUGGCGGACGGGUGAGGAAUACAUCGGAAUCUACUUUUUCGUGGGGGAUAACGUAGGGAAACUUACGCUAAUACCGCAUACGACCUACGGGUGAAAGCAGGGGAUCUUCGGACCUUGCGCGAUUGAAUGAGCCGAUGUCGGAUUAGCUAGUUGGCGGGGUAAAGGCCCACCAAGGCGACGAUCCGUAGCUGGUCUGAGAGGAUGAUCAGACACACUGGAACUGAGACACGGUCCAGACGCCUACGGGAGGCAGCAGUGGGGAAUAUUGGACAAUGGGCGCAAGCCUGAUCCAGCCAUACCGCGUGGGUGAAGAAGGCCUUCGGGUUGUAAAGCCCUUUUGUUGGGAAAGAAAAGCAGCAGGUUAAUACCCCGCUGUUCUGACGGUACCCAAAGAAUAAGCACCGGCUAACUUCGUG